UAACACUUCCUGACUGAGAUUUGUCCUUCAUGACAACAGAACCCACAACAACCAUGACUUUUAUCACCAUCUUCAUCUGGAUAUUUGCAUUCUACAUCAAAGAAUCCAGUGGACAGAUCACUGUGUCUCAGACUCCUACAGUUAAAACUGUUCUCCCAGAACAGACAGUCUCUCUGAACUGUAAAACCAGCAGUAAUGUCUAUCCUGACUGUGGUAGGUCAGGUAAACCAUGUUUAGCCUGGUACCAGCAGAAACCUGGAGGAGCUCCUAAAGUCCUUAUUUACCGUGCUACAACACUUCAGUCUGGGACUCCAUCUAGAUUCAGUGGCAGUGGAUCUGGGAGUGACUUCACUCUGACCAUCAGUGGAGUCCAGGCUGAAGAUGCAGGAGAUUACUACUGUCAGAGUCUCCACAGUGGUCCAGUGUUAACACAGUGAUACAGAGCCGUACAAAAACCUCCCUCAGUCAGACUGCACAGUGACUGUACUGCUACAGCUGGGACCUACUGCAGGUGCUGAGGGGGAAGAGACAGUAACAUGGAACAC